AACAGGAUUAGAUACCCUGGUAGUCCACGCCGUAAACGAUGAUAACUAGCUGUCCGGGGUUCAUGGAACUUGGGUGGCGCAGCUAACGCAUUAAGUUAUCCGCCUGGGGAGUACGGUCGCAAGAUUAAAACUCAAAGGGAUUGACGGGGGCCUGCACAAGCGGUGGAGCAUGUGGUUUAAUUCGAGGCAACGCGCAGAACCUUACCAGCGUUUGACAUCCUGAUCGCGGAUUAGAGAGAUCUUUUCCUUCAGUUCGGCUGGAUCAGUGACAGGUGCUGCAUGGCUGUCGUCAGCUCGUGUCGUGAGAUGUUGGGUUAAGUCCCGCAACGAGCGCAACCCUCAUCCCUAGUUGCCAUCAUUCAGUUGGGCACUCUAAGGAAACUGCCGGUGAUAAGCCGGAGGAAGGUGGGGAUGACGUCAAGUCCUCAUGGCCCUACGCGCUGGGCUACACACGUGCUACAAUGGCAACUACAGUGGGCAGCGACCUCGCGAGAGGUAGCUAAUCUCCAAAAGUUGUCUCAGUUCGGAUUGUUCUCUGCAACUCGAGAGCAUGAAGGCGGAAUCGCUAGUAAUCGCGGAUCAGCAUGCCGCGGUGAAUACGUUCCCAGGCCUUGUACACACCGCCCGUCACACCAUGGGAGUUGGUUUCACCCGAAGGCAGUGCUCUAACCCGCAAGGGAGGAAGCUGACCACGGUGGGAUCAGCGACUGGGGUGAAGUCGUAACAAGGUAACCGUAAAU
rnacentral:rRNA from 1 species